rnacentral:lncRNA from 1 species
AGUUUGAAGUCAUGUGAUGAGUACAUCCACUGUCCAGCAACCAACUUCCAACAUUGCGACACAUUUUAUAAUUUUCAGCUGUGAAUAGAUGCUCCUCUUACUGUUGUUGCUGAUUUUCAGCAACUUGUGCUUGUUGCUGUGUUUGUUUCUCUUUCUAGCUUUUACAAACCUUUUGAACAUGCCCAAAUUGCUUACAAGAUCUGCAUUGAACCCCUGGUCUGUACCAACACCAUUUUGGAGAAUGACCAGAUUUUUUGCAGUGAGGACAGAGAGGAUAACUUCCACUUUUGCCAGCACUUUUGUUGAUAUCAACCUUCUUCUUUUCAUCUUGUUGUUUCUUCACUCCAAAGCUUGUUUGAGCUUAAUGUUUUCCUUUGAAAAAUAAAGCUCCUUCAACUUGUUCUUCUUGUCUGAUCAGCCUCCUCUGUUCAGUAGCUUAGAGUGCAUUGACAAGCUCAGACAAUGUUAUGGUGGACAAGUCUCUAGAGUCUUCAAGAGAUGAGAUUUUUGCCUCAAAUUUUUCAGGUAAACUGAUCAAUACUUUUUCCACAACUCUCUUGUCAGGUAGAUCAUCUCCCAACAACCUUAUUUGAUUUACAACUUUCAUCAGCCUAUCAGAAAAUUCUUUCACAUUUUCUGAUUCUUUCAUCUUCAAGGUCUCAUACUCCCUUCUAAGGUUUAAAACUUGCAUCUGCCUUGUUCUUUCAUUGCCUUGGAACUCCUCUUUUAAUCUAUCCUAGGCCACCUUUGCAGUCUCACAAGUAAUAAUUCUGGUGAAGAUUGCAUCAGACACGACAGAUUGUAUGCAAGAAAGAGCCUUGAAUUUUUUUGCAACCUCCUCACUAUGUUGUUUUAGUUGAGCAAUAGUAGGAUUUGCUCUAAGAGGUAGUGGUUCAUUACCUGUUUCAGUGAUUUCCCACGGUCAUAAGCCUUCAAAUAAGCUUUCAUUUUUGUAGCCCAAAAAUCAUAAUUUUCUCCUUUGAAUACAGAAGGUAAUGGAGCUGAAAAACCACUUGAAGCCAUCACUCAAACUCACAAAAUCACUCGGCUGGUUUUGAUGAAAGGUUGCUGGCUGGUUUUCUCUCAAGAACUUGUCUCACAGUUUUUUUUUAGCUUCUUCAAAGAUCAGGUGGCUCUGAUACCACUGAU